rnacentral:rRNA from 1 species
CUUUGCGGCAUGGGAUGGGGUCGCGUCCUAUCAGCUUGAUGGCGGGGUAACGGCCACAUGGCUUCGACGGGUAGCCGGCCUGAGAGGGCGACCGGCCACAUUGGGACUGAGAUACGGCCCAGACUCCUACGGGAGGCAGCAGUGGGGAAUAUUGCACAAUGGGCGCAAGCCUGAUGCAGCGACGCCGCGUGAGGGAUGGAGGCCUUCGGGUUGUAAACCUCUUUUGUUAGGGAGCAAGGCACUUUGUGUUGAGUGUACCUUUCGAAUAAGCACCGGCUAACUACGUGCCAGCAGCCGCGGUAAUACGUAGGGUGCAAGCGUUAUCCGGAAUUAUUGGGCGUAAAGGGCUCGUAGGCGGUUCGUCGCGUCCGGUGUGAAAGUCCAUCGCUUAACGGUGGAUCCGCGCCGGGUACGGGCGGGCUUGAGUGCGGUAGGGGAGACUGGAAUUCCCGGUGUAAC